rnacentral:rRNA from 1 species
AUUGAACGCUGGCGGCAGGCUUCACACAUGCAAGUCGAGCGAGCGGCGGACGGGUGAGUAAUGUCUGGGAAACUGCCUGAUGGAGGGGGAUAACUACUGGAAACGGUAGCUAAUACCGCAUACCAUCGGAUUUGCCCAGAUUGGAUUAGCUAGUAGGUGGGGUAAAGGCUCACCUAGGCGACGAUCCCUAGCUGGUCUGAGAGGAUGACCAGCCAUACUGGAACUGAGACACGGCCCAGACUCCUACGGGAGGAAGCAGUGGGGAAUAUUGGACAAUGGGGGAAAGCCUGAUGCAGCCAUGCCGCGUGUAUGAUGAAGGCCUUCGGGUUGUAAAGUACUUUCAGCGGGGAGGCGUUACCUGCAGAAGAAGCACCGGCUAACUACGUGCCAGCAGCCGCGGUAAUAC